GCAUAAUAAUAAUAAUCGUGAAAGCAACAACUCUAUUUGGCCAACCUCCAACCAAGCCGUAGUAAACAACUAAAGAUAAGGCCAGCAGUAGGCCGGCCUUAUUGAGAUAAUCCAAUAUAAAGUUAAGGAUAUAUAUCGCCUGCUUCAAUCCCAGCACUUAGUAAAAGGAUAAUAUUUCCAGGGUCAUUUUGAUGAUCAAAAGAUUGUUGGAUUACAAUAAGCAUAGGAUUGAAUUGAUAAAUAGCUUUGCAAGUACUUCCUGAAGCAAUUCUGAUGACAUCACCUUAUACUAAAAGAACCAUCUUAAUUUCUAAAUUAUGUACUACAAGCAUUUUUAGGAUUAGAUAGUUGUAAUGUAUUACAAGCAUUUUUAGGACUGGGUAGUUUCAAACAUAGAUAUAGAGCCUGUUUUGAGUCUACAUUCAAUACCAAAUGUGCAAGUUUUGAAGUACAUGAUGACCAAAUGAUCAAGAACCAGAUCGUCCAGUGCCAAACCCAAGUUUAAACCAUCAGAAACAAAUGCAGAGAUAAAAAUGUUCAGAUUUCAGAAGAUGAGAUGACAAAGCUUAACCUGUUGGAAAUCAUGGCAGAUCGAAGACACCAAGGCCUCUGUGGACCAUGUGAUCGUCAAUGACAAUGACCCAUCAUUGAACUAAAGUCAAGAUGUUAAUCUUCAUGCCUUAAAUAAGUACAUUUAUUUAGUGAAGUUACAACCAGGGUUUUCAAGUUUCUUUGAGUUUGAAUUCCAAAACUGGUGCAUUAAAGUAUAAUUUUGCUCACCUGAACAUGCAUGUUCAGGACAUCAUAUCAAGCUCAAGAGAGUCAACUUAGGCAUGCCACUCCUCAUGAUCUCAUAACUUUCCUGUAAAGAAACAAAUAUAAUAAUUAAAUUUUACAUGAAGCACAGGAAAAAAAAACUAUAAUCGCUUGGCUGAAAUGGAACUGAUCCUCUUUGGCCAUCAUCAAAGCAUAGAUAAACCUCAAAUGAAUCUGAUGGCAAACAAGAUGAACCAACCAAAAAAAUUCUGAACAAUAUAUGUUGUCCCUAGAGAGCAAUAGCCAAUAGAUAGUCAGGAGAUAAAAAUUGACAUCUCUAUUGGACUUUUCACACAGUAAACCCUAAAAAACAAAUGAUCAGCUCUAGCUGGUGUGCUCUUUGCUUCAGAGGUACACAUAGCUUUUGUUGACGAUCACUAAAGCUUAUUUGACAGCACAUAUAAGUUAAUAGGAAAAGCAAACUAUAAAUCGUAACCAUCAAACUUAAUAAAUCUAUCGCUAGAUGAUCUUGGCUAGAUUAUUCAGUUUGACAUGCUAUUCUUCAAGAACAUCGAGCAACUACCGGUGUCGAUAAAAUAUCAUAUAUCUAGUUUUUGUGAGAGGCAAGUGUUGAAAUUGACCUGCUAAGUGAUCAUGGAGGAGACAACCAUGUAGAAUACUGGCACACUCCUAAGUAGUUGGCAGGGCAGGCACCUCACUGGCGGAUAGAACCGCGUCCUGUUUCCAUGCACCAUCUGACCCAUCAAUACACUGAGUAGAAAAAGGUUAAAAAAUAAUUAAAAAAGACAAAUCUAGAUAGGAAAUCAUGUUCCUUUCACAGGGUCCAGAUGAAAUGAAAGGUAUGAACUUACAAUUUGGCAGAAGAUGGAGUGAUUAAAAGCAUAAAUACAAUCUGAAAAAAGAUGAAGUGAUUAACAAACACACACAAAAAAAUUUUUGCAAUGGACGAAGAGAAGAGACAUGUCAUGAUCUGAUUGUAUCU
rnacentral:lncRNA from 1 species